rnacentral:rRNA from 1 species
AUUGAACGCUGGCGGCAGGCUUAACACAUGCAAGUCGAGCGGGGGGAGGUAGCUUGCUACCUAACCUAGCGGCGGACGGGUGAGUAAUGCUUAGGAAUCUGCCUAUUAGUGGGGGACAACAUUUCGAAAGGGAUGCUAAUACCGCAUACGCCCUAAGGGGGAAAGCAGGGGAUCUUCGGACCUUGCGCUAAUAGAUGAGCCUAAGUCGGAUUAGCUAGUUGGUGGGGUAAAGGCCUACCAAGGCGACGAUCUGUAGCGGGUCUGAGAGGAUGAUCCGCCACACUGGGACUGAGACACGGCCCAGACUCCUACGGGAGGCAGCAGUGGGAAUAUGGGACAAUGGGGGGAACCCUGAUCCAGCCAUGCCGCGUGUGUGAAGAAGGCCUUUUGGUUGUAAAGCACUUUAAGCGAGGAGGAGGCUACCGAGAUUAAUACUCUUGGAUAGUGGACGUUACUCGCAGAAUAAGCACCGGCUAACUCUGUGCCAGCCGCCGCAGUAACAC